AACAUUAAACCCUAAGCUGGUGAGAAGGAAGGUGGAAGAAAAUGCAUUUCUCAGCUGCUGGUAGGUACACUGCCUGAAGCUGAGAGCUGAAAGCAAGAGCGAGGAUCAUCAUUGACCAAAGGAUGGACCAUAAUUUGAAAUACAGUCUUCAUCUUUAACGAAAGGAGAUUCAAGACUGAGAAAGACUAAGAGAAAUGUUUAAUGAACAUCUUGAGAAAGACAUGAAAGCAGCAUUAAACAGAAAGGU